UACGUAGGGGGCGAGCGUUGUCCGGAAUUACUGGGCGUAAAGGGUGCGUAGGUGGCCUAUUAAGUUGGAUGUGAAAUACCCGGGCUUAACCUGGGGGGUGCAUCCAAAACUGGUGGGCUAGAGUGCAGGAGAGGGAAGCGGAAUUCCUAGUGUAGCGGUGAAAUGCGUAGAUAUUAGGAGGAACACCAGUGGCGAAGGCGGCUUUCUGGACUGUAACUGACACUGAGGCACGAAAGCGUGGGGAGCAAACAGGAUUAGAUACCCUGGUAGUCCACGCUGUAAACGAUGAAUACUAGGUGUAGGGGGUAUCAACUCCCUCUGUGCCGCAGCAAACGCAAUAAGUAUUCCGCCUGGGGAGUACGGCCGCAAGGUUGAA
rnacentral:rRNA from 1 species